CGCGGCGUGCCCGAGUGGCCCAAGGGACCGGUUUCAUACGCUGGACAGCCGCAGGUUCGAAUCCUGCCGCCGCGU
rnacentral:tRNA from 1 species